UGGAUGCUUUCAAGAGAGAGUUAGAGUUAGCUCUUGGGGCCGAAGGAAUCAAGGGAUAUGGAGAGAAAGCAGGAACGGGUUACUGAUUGGGGAUGAUCAGCCAUGAUCACAUUGAAUGGCAGUGCUGGCUCGAAGGGC